rnacentral:rRNA from 1 species
UACGUAGGUGGCAAGCGUUGUCCGGAUUUACUGGGCGUAAAGAGCGCGCAGGCGGUCGUUCAAGUCGCGUGUGAAAGCCCCCGGCUCAACUGGGGAGGGUCACGCGAUACUGAUCGACUCGAAGGCAGGAGAGGGAAGUGGAAUUCCCGGUGUAGCGGUGAAAUGCGUAGAUAUCAGGAGGAACACCAGUGGCGAAGGCGACUACCUGGCCUGUUCUUGACGCUGAGGAGCGAAAGCGUGGGGAGCGAACAGG